rnacentral:tRNA from 1 species
GCGCGCUUGGCGAAAUUGGUAGACGCAUCGGACUUAAAAUCCGUAGUCCUUUCAAGGACGUACCGGUUCGACCCCGGUAGCGCGCACCA